rnacentral:rRNA from 1 species
UACAGAGGGUGCAAGCGUUGUUCGGAAUUACUGGGCGUAAAGCGCGUGUAGGCGGUUUUGUAAGUUCUGUGUGAAAGCCCCGGGCUCAACCCAGGAAGUGCGCAGAAUACUGCAUGACUGGAGUGACGGAGAGGAUGGCGGAAUACCCGGUGUAGAGGUGAAAUUCGUAGAUAUCGGGUGGAACACCUGUGGCGAAGGCGGCCAUCUGGACGUCAACUGACGCUGAGACGCGAAAGCAUGGGGAGCAAACAGG